AUGCUUGAUUGAGAUGAUUUUUUUUAUUUUAGAAAUUAGAUAUCUUUUUGAGAUCUAGAAUUUUGAGUUUGCCUUUAAAGAAGCUAAAUCAAGCUAAAAAUUCUAUUGUUUAGAUUUCAAAAUAGAUCAGUCAAAUCAAAAUUUUUCUUUUCGAAAAAGACUUCAACUGAAGAUUAUCUUUUAAGCCGUGAAGAAUUAGAUAGAAUAAUACCAGACAAAAUUGAUAUAAAAGUAG
rnacentral:lncRNA from 1 species